AGUGAAGCGGGAAGAGCUCAAAUUUUGAAUCUGGCGGUCUGAGGCCGUCCGAGUUGUAAUCUAGAGAAGCGUCAUCCGCGCCGGACCGCAUCUAAGUCCCCUGGAACGGGGCGUCGUAGAGGGUGAGAAUCCCGUCUUUAAUGCGGACUGCUGGGGCUCUGUGAUGUGCUCUCGAAGAGUCGAGUUGUUUGGGAAUGCAGCUCAAAACGGGUGGUAAAUUCCAUCUAAAGCUAAAUAUUGGCGAGAGACCGAUAGCGAACAAGUACCGUGAGGGAAAGAUGAAAAGCACUUUGGAAAGAGAGUCAAACAGUACGUGAAAUCGUUGAAAGGGAAACGAUUGAAGUCAGUCGCGUCGGUCGGGAUUCAGCCUCGCUUCUGCUCGGCGCAUUUCCCGGCUCGACGGGUCAACGUCGAUUUCGGCCGUCGUACAAGGGCCGGAGGAAUGUGGCAUCUUCGGAUGUGUUUAUAGCCUCCCAUCGCAUGCGUCGGCCGGGAUCGAGGAACUCAGCGCGCCCUUGCGGUCGGGGUUUCGGCCCACGUUUACGCGCUCAGGACGUUGACGAAAUGGCUUUAACCGACCCGUCUUGAAACACGGACCAAGGAGUCUAACAUGUCUGCGAGUGUUUGGGCGCCAAACCCGAGCGCGUAAUGAAAGUGAAAGGUUGGGACCCCUUACGGGGGCACCGACGCCCGAGCCGGACCUUCUGCGAUGGCUUCGAGGUAGAGCAUAUAUGUUGGGACCCGAAAGAUGGUGAACUAUGCCUGAAUAGGGCGAAGCCAGAGGAAACUCUGGUGGAGGCUCGUAGCGAUUCUGACGUGCAAAUCGAUCGUCAAAUUUGGGUA
rnacentral:rRNA from 1 species